rnacentral:lncRNA from 1 species
GGAAACCCUUGUUUGUUCCUGAUUUUAGAGGAAAAGAUUUCAGCUUUUUACUGUUGAGUAUGAUAUUAGCUGUGGGCUUGUCACAUAAAGCCUUCAUUAUGUUGAGCCUAGAAGCAGAAAGGAAGACUGAGCCAGAACGCGGAGUCUUCAAUAAAUGAUGGAGCAAGACAGGAAGUUUGGAAGAUGACAGCAGUGUGGAAAGAAAGUGUGCAGUAGGUAGGGAUUUGUUUCAUCAUGUUCAGGUGCACGAAACAUGGCUUUUUG